rnacentral:tRNA from 1 species
GGCCGAUGAGGUAAGGAUGCUUUGUCCUUCACACGGAAGAGGUCACUGGUUCGAUCCCAGUAUCGCCCACCA